CUGGUACUGAAUAUGGGUUAAAAGCUGUGCAGCAGCAUAAUGAAUAACUAAUUACUACAAUGGAAAAAGUGAAGAAACUCCUCAAGCAAGGUUUUGUCCAAUCAUUGCCAUAAUAUGAGCUUGAUUGACAGCAAGCUAUUGAGCAAUCGUGUGAGUGAUAACGCCCCAUUAAACUGUUGCGGGGAGGAAUGAGAGGAGAAGCACGCAGACUGCUUUUGGGAUGACAGAGGACACGCUGGCAAUCGCUACAUCAACAGAAGCUGCUAAAGCUAAAUAAUACGAUAAAGUCAGAAAGUAGUUACUAUAAACUUAGUGAACGGAUUUACAUCGGCAUAACCUGUAGCUGCCUUACGGCCGUUGGUUCGGUUUUAAAACUUCGGUGACGCCUCAUGGUUCGUGCUGGGCGCCGCCAUUUUAGAACCAUAUGGGACACACCAUCAUCGGUGAGAAUGGCAAUUCAUAUUUCGUUUGCUUUUAUGUUUUAUGUUGAAACAUUAUUGUUAAACCGAAUUGCAUUUACAAUGUGAAAGAUUGAAUGUACUCAUUACAAAUGAGUACUUAAUUACUUUAACAUUGUUGAUAUUGUCAGAUUAUAUUGUGUUAGAUUUUAAUGCACAACUACCUCUGACCUGAUGUUAUGCAGGUCAGGUUUUUUUCUUUCUUGGUUUAUUUGCUUGAAUCAGCCCUGCUCUGGUUAUCCAAGGAUGGCGAGCCAACCGUUGUGAAACUUGGGACCCUGGAUUUUGUUUUGAUUUUCCUUGGAUGGAUUCUGAGCAGUAACCACUCUCUCCAGUGUGGUAGGACAGUGAUGCACUUUCACUCUCUGACCUGCUACAAGCAGUGCAGUUCUGGACAAUUGACACAUACACACUAAGACAUAUUCUGUGUCUUUGGGACUGUUAAUGUACACUUGUACGUGUUUAAUUGCACCAGUUAAAUUUUGUGUUUAAUUGCACCAGUUUUAUUGUGAACGCAAGCGAUAAUUUUGAACUCCUGAGUGAAUAAUUGAUUGUUAUUGAUCUAUUGAUAACUGCAACGGUUUACUACUGCAACUAUGGUUUCUCAGUCAGGAUAGCGGGUGCACCCUCAGAUCAGAUAAUUGAUAUCAGUCUUGUUGAUAUUCAUGGGCCUAUGCACAUUUCUGGUGUAAAUUUAUUUUAUUAUUUUUAUUUUACAAUUGAAAAGUGACAAUACAAGCCGGUUAAAAAGGUAA